rnacentral:rRNA from 1 species
GCUUGGCCUUAAAUCUAGAUGUUUCCCCUACCAAAGCAUCCGCCCGAGAACUACGAGCACAAACGCUUAAAACUCUAAGGACUUGGCGGUGCUCCAAACCCACCUAGAGGAGCCUGUUCUGUAAUCGAUAACCCACGAUGCACCCAACCCCUUCUUGCCCAAAGCAGCCUACAUACCGCCGUCCCCAGCUCACCUUCUCUGAGAGCCCAACAGUGAGCACAACAACACCCCCGCUAAUAAGACAGGUCAAGGUAUAGCCCAUGGAGGGGAAGAAAUGGGCUACAUUUUCUAAGAUAGAAAACCCAACGAAAAGGGGCUUGAAACAGCCCCUAGAAGGAGGAUUUAGCAGUAAAGAGGGGUAAGAACACCCUCUUAAACUUGGCCCUGGAGCACGUACAUACCGCCCGUCACCCUCUUCACAACUACUAACUACCCGUAACCUAACCCAAACCCAAAAGUUAAAAGAUGAGGCAAGUCGUAACAAGGUAAGUGUACCGGAAGGUGCACUUAGCACCAAGGCGUAGCUAUAACGCCA